rnacentral:rRNA from 1 species
UACAGAGGGUGCAAGCGUUAAUCGGAAUUACUGGGCGUAAAGCGCGCGUAGGUGGUUCGUUAAGUUGGAUGUGAAAUCCCCGGGCUCAACCUGGGAACUGACCAUUUGUGACUGCGAUCGCUGGAGUACGGCAGAGGGGGAUGGAAUUCCGCGGUGUAGCAGGUGAAAUGCGUAGAUAUGCGGAAGGAACACCGAUGGCGGAAGGGCAGUCCCCUGGGCCUGUAACUGACGCUCCAGUGCACGAAAGCGUGGGGAGCAACAGGAAUAGAAACCCCUGGUAGUCCAAGACCGAAUGUACCUCUGC